UGAAGAUGCAGUGUACCCGCGGCAAGACGGAAAGACCCCGUGAACCUUUACUAUAGCUUGACACUGAACAUUGAGCCUUGAUGUGUAGGAUAGGUGGGAGGCUUUGAAGUGUGGACGCCAGUCUGCAUGGAGCCGACCUUGAAAUACCACCCUUUAAUGUUUGAUGUUCUAACGUUGGCCCCUAAUCGGGGUUGCGGACAGUGUCUGGUGGGUAGUUUGACUGGGGCGGUCUCCUCCUAAAGAGUAACGGAGGAGCACGAAGGUUGGCUAAUCCUGGUCGGACAUCAGGAGGUUAGUGCAAUGGCAUAAGCCAGCUUGACUGCGAGCGUGACGGCGCGAGCAGGUGCGAAAGCAGGUCAUAGUGAUCCGGUGGUUCUGAAUGGAAGGGCCAUCGCUCAACGGAUAAAAGGUACUCCGGGGAUAACAGGCUGAUACCGCCCAAGAGUUCAUAUCGACGGCGGUGUUUGGCACCUCGAUGUCGGCUCAUCACAUCCUGGGGCUGAAGUAGGUCCCAAGGGUAUGGCUGUUCGCCAUUUAAAGUGGUACGCGAGCUGGGUUUAGAACGUCGUGAGACAGUUCGGUCCCUAUCUGCCGUGGGCGCUGGAGAACUGAGGGGGGCUGCUCCUAGU
rnacentral:rRNA from 1 species